CUGACUCGAAGAUUCCAAGCAAAGAAAAAGUUCUUCUUUCCUUUUCAUUUAUUUCAUUCCUUUUGAACGAAUGGUGCCAGCUUCCUUUUUGAGAUCUAAACUCCAUUCUUUCCCGAAAGCGUUUGUAUAUGAAAAGAGAGAGAGUGAAAGAGAGAAAAAGGAAGUAAGAUCGGAACUAGCAGGGUUGACGAAUGACUGAUGGUAAACCUUGUCUGUCUGAGAGCUUCCAUUGAAAUAGCUGUCCAAACGAUAAGCUGAAAUUGAAAUAUUAAAAGCGUCAUUAUCCGCUAGGUAGAAAUCAGCCUGUACAUGAAUUAAUACCCAGGACAAUAUUCAGAACAUUAUGAGCGAGACGACAUUUUUCGAAAGCAAAGUAAAUAAACAGUUGAUUAAUAUAACUGACUAAUUGACUAUAUCUGGACGUAUACCAUAAUGCCAGUCUUCACAAACCAAGCAAAACUGAAUUGUGGCUACCAGAUAA